GUCACUGUUGCCGGAACUGAUUCAACCUGCAAAUCAUUAAAUCCAUCCUAAAGAUCAGUCGAAAAAAGCGACUACGAGAAUCUGGGCAAAAUCACGCCCACAAUAUCAGCAAAGAAAAGUGGGCUAAACCCCAACUAAACAAGGGUGAUGCAGAUGAUGCUUGAAGAUUGAAGCUAGUACCUCAGCAGUGGCCAUUUCAGGUGGUUGAAAGAGAAGAUGGAGAAGAGAAAGGAUGCAAUGGGGUGGCAAAGAUAGCAAAUUGGUUGUGGUGAGAAGAAUGAUCAGAUUGAGAGAGAGGAGGGAUCACCCAAAAAGAAACUACUGUCUACUCCACACAUGAAUCUUCCUAGGCAAGAAAAUCCCCAUGAAGUCCUCCAACAAGAGGUGUUGAAACAUAAAAGGUGAUGAUCAACAUACCAAAAAGAAGCCUUAAAUAGUGUAUUUAUAACUCGAUUUUAUUCCCCUAAAAAUAUGCACCAUAUAAAUUUCGUAAGUCAUAACUUCUACUCGUAUUAUAUUCUUUUUAGGGAUUGAGAGUAAAGAUCAAAUAUAUAUUAUGAAAUGGUUGUCUAAAGUCUUUAGUGUAUUAGGGUCUAGUGUAUAGGGAAAAUGGCAAAUCCACAUGGUGGUGGAGGCCAUUUUAGAAGGCAAGCCAUAAUCUUUUUAAUGAGUGGUUUAUUUUGUGCUUUGUGUAAGGUGGAUACUGGCUGGCUGGGACUAUCAUGCUUUCAUGUUCUUCAAAUUCUACUUGGCUUUUGCCUUUUCCACUAUAUUUUUUGUUUAAUGAUAAUAAUAAUAAUCGAUCUUUCUA